rnacentral:tRNA from 1 species
AAAAAUUAGAAAUAGUUUUUUUUUUAUUUGGAAAAGUGUAUUUGUUUCUAUACUUUUGUAUUACAUUAGUAUAUAAAAAUAUAUUAUUGAAAAAUUUUUAAAUAGUGUUUUUAAUAGCUAAAAUUGAUAUGUAAAAAUGAUGUAAAAUAAUAUAUAAUAUUGAUGUAAUGAAAAAAAUUAACAGUUUGUGUUAUUUUAAUUUCAAAAAUUAGAAUUUUUA